AACAUAUUUAUUUUAAUUAUUGUUCAAAGUUGUGAUCGUGUCAUAUGAAAUGCACCCCUAAAUUUUGAUUAGGUAUCACGACCAUGCCAUGGGAACUGUACCCAUAGUCGUGAUAAUUUAUUAAUCGCGCCUAAGCAAAGCUAUGAAUGUCCGUGGUUUGAUUGACUUUUCUAAGGUUCGAUAUUGCAUGUGAUGUUCAAUGUUUUGGAGGUACACUAUCUAAUUCUUUUAGUAAUAAAAAAAUGAGAACCCAUGUGUUCUUUAGUAAUCUGAAUUACCCAAGAAAGCAUUUCAUUUCCAAAGAAUUUUUACAAUUAAAACCAUAAAAACAUAACGUUAUCAACCAAAUUUAGUUCACACGAUAAUGAAGAGUCAAACAUGAAGAUUAUUGCACUCAACUCAAGUUAAUAAUAUUAGUACAUUUCUAACACUCAAAAUAAAAUAAUAACUACACUAGCUUUAAACAUAUACAUGAUCUGGAUCAGGUUAUUGGGUUUAACACCCAGACCCAACAGCCUAAGGUCUAGACUUGCUCAAACAAUUUCCAACUGGGCCACUUUACAAAGUCUGGCUCAUCUUCUGUAAUCCCUGUUUGAUAAUCUCGGAGAAAAACAUCAUACAUCCAACAUUAUAAAUAAUGUGUAAUGGCUAAAUUAGAGAUAAGAAUUACAAAGAUAGCCUACUCUAUAGCUAUUAAUUACAACAAUUGAAUUCAUGCAUUAUUACAAAAUGUUUCGAACUAAUAUUUAUUCUAAUCAUUCAUCAGUAAAUAAUCCCUAAUCUAAAUUACAGAAAAACUUAAAUAUUGUUGCCAAAGGCACUAUGAUUAAAAGAACCUUUGUUAUACCAAAUAGUGCCUAAUAUGAGUCUGGACUCCUUCAAGUGCUACAACUUUUCAAAUAAGUCUUGAGUUACAAAGGCAGCUAUAGAGCUGUUUGCAAAUCAGCACUUUGUUCCUCACGUAUUGACACAGAUAAGACAUCUAAUGAGGAUCCAAAUGGUUUCAGAGCUUUUCUUGUUUUGUUAAGACUUCAUAUACAAUCAGAGAAUUGAAAAAGAUUUAUUGUGAAGAAAAUCUAUUAGCACAAUACUUCCAAAGUAAGAAAACAGUAAAUAGUAUCAAUAAAACUAUUGAAUCAUCAAAAUUCAUGAAGCAGAAACUAAGUAUAAACAUGACACAAGAAUAGCAAAUGUUACUUAUAAUAGAAAUAAACAAUCUGGAAAUUCAAAGAAGCAAUUUCAUGGCACCAUAUAUUGAAUAAAAAUAAAGCUUCAAGCUGGUUCAAAGGCUAACAGGCUGGAUUCAAUAAACACAAAAUUAACAGGGACGAAAUUAUAUCUCAUUCAUAAACAUCAAGAUAAAGGAUGCUCGAUGAAGAUGUCCUAUAGCAACAGAAUCAAAGUGAAACAGAAAAUGAGCUUUUGACCGAAGCUAGAAAAGAACAACAACAAAAGUGAACAUCAUAUCAGAAAAUCAACAAGACCAAAGAACAACACGUGAUUUGAAUUCCUCCCAGAAUCAGAACAAACCAGUAUAGGAAAACCAGAAUAACCACUGAUUUUUUGAGAGCAAGAAAAAGUGCAGAGAGCCCUUAUUUUCUUUGUAUAGAAAUUAGUUUGUUUUAAAGAGAAUGUUGACUGAUAAGGUGUGUGUGAGAGUGAGAGUCAGCUUCUUUUAUAUAGAGUGUAAGAAAAUGCACAAGGAUAGGAAUAACAGGGAAUAUUCUAUCCUGAAAUUCAAGGAUGUCAGCUGUAAAGAAGGAUAGUACAACAUCUUUUUAACACAUUUUGGUAUAGUUGUCCUUUUACCCAACUUUCUGCAUCUUUCAACACUAAAAAUGGACAGCUGUUCAAUACUAGAAGCUUCUGAUAUUUUCUUUUUGCUUAUGUAUUUUACCUCAUUUCUAACCUAGUUUCAAUUACUUCAUUACACUUUAAUCCGUGCCAUUAUCCUCUAGAACUUUCCAGACAAUUCUAAAUUUUAACUUCCUGAUGUUGGUUUUCAGUUAUCCCCCUUAAAUUACUGUUAUUACCCUUUCAACUCUUAAACCAUUUGAACCUCAAUAAUCAAAUAGCUAAGGCUAAAUCAAGGCAGCUUAUUAAAUAAAUCUAACUAAAACAAAUACCUUGAUUAACCCUAAACAAAUGAUUGAACUAGUGCAAUUAACUAAUUGACCCUAAUUUACUGAAUAAUUAAUCUAAGAAAACAUUAGCACAUAAAUUCAGAACAACAAAUAAAAAAGAAAAAUAACAAAAGGAAGAAGAAAAACAGAAAUAGUAAUCCAAUAACAUUUAGUAGCUAACCUAAUUAACCUAACAAACUCAUGGGCAUGUAACUAGCUAGACAAUCUUAUAAAUCAAACUGCACAAUCAAGAGAAAAACAAACAACUGAUAACAAUAAAAGAAACCAAGUAAGAAAAUGAAAAAGAAAGAAAGAAAAUGGGUAUACCUAAACUGGAUUUUGCAUAUUUGAAACCAACACCCAGUCACCAAAAGUAUUUGUGCCAAGAGACCUAUCAAGACCCGAUGGGAUAUCUUGACACGAACACCUUUGAAGAGAACAUAUACGCUGACGACCAUUAGCGUUUCUGGGUUUUCAAAUUUGAAAAUCAAUGGAUUUGAUGGGGUUUUUGGAUUAAAGGUGAAGAGAUGUGUCAUUCUGAGGAGGUUUGGAGGUUGAACGAAGAAGAAAGAACUUUGUCGGAGUUCCGACAAAGUGGCAUUCUUGACCGUAUUUAGUAUCCACCAAACAUUAUGAUACCAACAUCAAUCAAUAGCUCUCAAUGAGAAAAAUCAAUUGACGUAAGUUAUAAUAUCAAACAAGCCCGAUUUAGAAGAAAAAGAAAAGAAAAGAAAAAUCUAGGUUUUCACGACUUCUUAGAUCUGAAAUUCAAUAGGUUUGGUGAGGAAUUUGGGAAAACUAAUGAUAGAUUAGUGAAUAGGGGAGGCUGGGAUUUGUGGGGUGUUAUUAGUGGUUUGGGGUGUCGCCGCCGCCAUGGGGCGAUUUCGGGCGGCGAUUCUGGACGGUGGUUUAAAGGGGUGGUGAGAGAGAUGAGAGAAACGAAAUAUNNNN
rnacentral:lncRNA from 1 species